GAUGAACUCUGGCGGCGUGCCUAAUACAUGCAAGUCGAGCGAACAGACGAGGAGCUUGCUCCUCUGACGUUAGCGGCGGACGGGUGAGUAACACGUGGAUAACCUACCUAUAAGACUGGGAUAACUUCGGGAAACCGGAGCUAAUACCGGAUAAUAUAUUGAACCGCAUGGUUCAAUAGUGAAAGACGGUUUUGCUGUCACUUAUAGAUGGAUCCGCGCCGCAUUAGCCAGUUGGUAAGGUAACGGCUUACCAAGGCAACGAUGCGUAGCCGACCUGAGAGGGUGAUCGGCCACACUGGAACUGAGACACGGUCCAGACUCCUACGGGAGGCAGCAGUAGGGAAUCUUCCGCAAUGGGCGAAAGCCUGACGGAGCAACGCCGCGUGAGUGAUGAAGGUCUUCGGAUCGUAAAACUCUGUUAUUAGGGAAGAACAAAUGUGUAAGUAACUAUGCACGUCUUGACGGUACCUAAUCAGAAAGCCACGGCUAACUACGUG
rnacentral:rRNA from 1 species